AACAAGAGAGAGGUGAGAGAGAAUAUAUGAACAAAUCAAUAACCAGUAAAGAGAUUGAAACGGUAAUAAAAAAAGUCUCUCAUCAAAUGAAAGUCCAGGAUCUGAUAGCUUCAUUGUUGAGUUCUAUAAAUCACUUACUCUUACCAUUUGAUAUUUUCCUUUAAAGUGACUCCCUUUUAAGCAUUAUAACUAUUUUAUAAGAAAACUGUGUAUCAUUUGAUAACUGGGCAAUCUGUUUCACCUGCUAUACAUAGAUGAAAAAUAAAAAUAAAAGUAAGGAGAAUAAAAUGUAAUUAAGUUCGAGGUAGAUAAAAUUGUCUGCUGAUGAUGCUCAGCCUGAAACUUGUCUCAUUAAAAAGAGCUUGGAAAAAUGUCAUUAAGUUGAAACUUUCUCCUUGACAAAAGGAUUCAAAGAGAAUUGAAACAGGGUGACUUUUCUGUUAUAUGUGAGUCAUAUAAUAAAUUCUGGAAUAAUUAAUUCUGUUAUUAAUGAAUACAUUCUGCAUUCACAUAGCACCUAUAAUUACCUCGGGAACCAUGGUGUUCUACUUAACAUACUCCAUAAAAUACCAUGCUGCAGGCACAAUUGGAGAACUGCUUGUUUUAUGGAUAUUUUUGCAAUGGCUGUCUAAUCAGAAUGAUUAUAGAUCAAAAUACAUUAAGGAUAGAAUUCUGGCAUUAAAAAAUCUGUAUAAAAUGGGGAAGAAAAGAAAAAGACAACUUUCUUUUGAUAUGCCCCCAAAAGGAAACAUCUACCAAGACCUUCUUUUACUGAGUUUAAAGCUCUUUACAAAUUACUAAGUAGUCAAGUCUGAUGCUGAUUACAAACCAAUACACAUUGUUUCAGUGCUCUCUUCAAGCAGAAGAAGCAAAAACACUGAGUGCAAUUAAAAAGGUGACAAGAAAGAGAUGGAAGACAAAUCAUGAAGAGGCACGAAACUGAUGUGUGCUUCCUCAAGCAUUACUCUAUAAUGAGAAAACAUUUGCUGGAACAAGCCUUAUACUCUCCACAAAAUGCAGACUUGGCACUCAUUCCAUUUCUUUUUUGGAGGCUGAAAAUGUCUUUGUCUACUGGUGCUGUUUAAAAGUUGUCUAAUCAACAUCAUCAUAAUGCUCUGUCCCUCCUGCGAAAGCCAGCUGGGAUCUCUGUUUCUAUCAGGGAGCAAGUUUUAAUACAGCCACUUUCCUUUCAACAUAUUGGCUGGGAAAUCUCCCCUGCUGGGAAGUAAAAAGCUUUAAUUUUGUGAAUCAUCAAAGCUUUUUCUUAUACAUGGUGUAGAAUAACCUUUCCUUUUCAGAAAGUCUAAUCCAAUAGCCUCCCAGACCUCAGGAUGUCACCAAAUGGCAUGUGCGUGCAAGAAGAACAAAGGAGGAAGCCAUUCAAAGCCCAGCUGCAUAUUGCAUAACACCUUGAAUUAGAAAAUCCACGACCCACAAAACGCUUACCUACUUUGUGCGGUUUAAAUAAAGCAGAGUGCUACUCCUCUUUAAAGAACUGCUUUACAGUUAUCUUCCUGUCAGAAUUCCAAUUAUUCUAUGACUCAGUGGGAAGUGAGCAGCGUCUCUGCCUGGCCGCCCAUCCUCUGGGAUGUGAGGAGCGCCUCUGCCCGGCCGCCCCGUCUGGGAGGAAGUGAGGAGCGCCUCUGCCCGGCUGCCCCGAAUGGGAAGUGAGGAGCACCUCUGCCUGGCCACCCCCUCUGGGAAGUGAGGAGCGCCUCUGCCCAGCUGCCCCAUCUGGGAGGAAGUGAGGAGUGCCUCUGCCCAGUUGCCCCGAAUGGGAAGUGAGGAGCGCCUCUGCCCGGCUGCCCAGUCUGGGAAGUGAGGAGUGCCUCUGCCCGGACACCCCAUCUGGGAGGUGAGGAGCGCCUCUGCCCGGCUGCCACCCCAUCUGGGAGGUGAGGGGCGUCUCUGCCUGGCUGCCACCCCAUCUGGGAAGUGAGGAGUGCCUCUGUCCGGCUGCCACCCCAUCUGGGAGGUGAGGGGCGUCUCUGCCCAGCCGCCCCGCCUGGGAAGUGGGCGCCUCUGUCCGGCCGCCCCGUCUGGGAGGUGAGGGGCGUCUCUGCCUGGCUGCCCCGUCUGGGAGGUGAGGGGUGCCUCUGCCCAGCUACCAGCCUGGGAAGUGAGGAGCGCCUCUGCCCAGCUGCCCUUUGUCUGGGAGGUGGGCAGCACCUCUGCCUGGCCGCCCCAUCUGGGAAGUGGGCACCUCUGCCUGGCCGCCCUGUCUGGGAGGUGAGGGGCGUCUCUGCCCGGCCGCCCCAUCUGGGAGGUAAGGAGUGCCUCUGCCCGGCCGCCCCGUCUGGGAAGUGGGCGCCUCUGCCCAGCCACCCCGUCUGGGAGGUGAGGGGCGUCCCUGCCCAGCCGCCCCGCCUGGGAAGUGAGGAGUGCCUCUGCCCAGCCACCCUUCAUCUGGGAGGUGGGGAGCGCCUCUGCCCGGCCGCCCCGUCUGGGAGGUGAGGGGCGUCUCUGCCUGGCCGCCCCGUCUGGGAGGUGAGGGGCGCCUCUGCCCGGCCACCCCACCUGGGAAGUGAGGAGCGCCUCUGCCCAGCCGCCCUUCAUCUGGGAGGUGGGGAGUGCCUCUGCCCGGCCGCCCCAUUGGGGAAGUGGGCGCCUCUGCCCAGCCACCCCGUCUGGGAGGUGAGAGGUGUCUCUGCCUGGCUGCCCCGUCUGGGAUGUGGGGAGCGCCUCUGCCCGGCCGCCCCGUCUGGGAGGUGGGGAGUGCCUCUGCCCGGCCGCCCAUCGUCUGGGAGGUGAGGAGCGCCUCUGCCCGGCUGCCCCGUCUGGGAUGUGGGGAGCACCUCUGCCCGGCCGCCCCUUGUGGGAUGUGAGGCGCACCUCUGCCCGGCCGCCCCAUCUGGGAAGUGGGGGGCACCUCUGCCUGGCCGCUCUUCGUCUGGGAGGUGGGGAGCGCCUCUGCCCGGCUGCUCUUCGUCUGGGAGGUGGGGAGCGCCUCUGCCCGGCUGCCCAUCGUCUGGGAUGUGAGGAGCGCCUCUGCCCGGCCGCCAACCCAUCUGGGAAGUGAGGAGCGCCUCUGCCCAGCCGCCCCAUCUGGGAAGUGAGGAGCGCCUCUGCCCGGCUGCCCUGUCUGGGAAGUGAGGAGCGCCUCUGCCAGGCCGCCCCAUCUGGGAAGUGUACCCAACAGCUCCUAAGAGACAGCGACCAUCGAGAACGGGCCAUGAUGACGAUGGCGGUUUUGUUGAAAAGAAAAGGGGGAAAUGUGGGGAAAAGAAAGAGAGAUCAGAUUGUUACUGUGUCUGUGUAGAAAGAAGUAGACAUAGGAGACUCCAUUUUGUUCUGUACUAAGAAAAAUUCUUCUGCCUUGGGAUGCUGUUAAUCUAUAACCUUACCCCCAACCCCCUGCUCUCUGAAACAUGUGCUGUGUCAACUCAGGGUUAAAUGGAUUAAGGGCGGUGCAAGAUGUGCUUUGUUAAACAGAUGCUUGAAGACAGCAUGCUCGUUAAGAGUCAUCAUCACUCCCUAAUCUCAAGUACCCAGGGACACAAACAGGGCCAAAGGCCGCAGGGACCUCUGCCUAGGAAAACCAGAGACCUUUGUUCUCGUGUUUAUCUGCUGACCUUCUCUCCACUAUUAUCCUAUGACCCUGCCACAUCCCCCUCUCUGAGAAACACCCAAGAAUGAUCAAUAAAUGCUA
rnacentral:lncRNA from 10 species